CGCCGGCCCCCCUCACGGCCGCCGGCCCCCCUCACGGCCGCCGGCCCCCCUCACGGCCGCGCUGCCCCGGCCCCGCCGGAUGAAUAAAUAAAUGACGGCGCGGAGAGGGAGAGGCCGGCGGGAGGAAAGCGAGAGGGAGCCGGAGAGGGGCCGCCGGCUGAGCGCCGCUCGGGGGGCGCGGCGUGCAGUCGGACACCGGCGGCGGAGGAGGAGGAGAGGCGGAGGGGGGGCCACAGAGUAGCCGCCCGCCCGCCGGCCCGCGGGCGUCCCGCCAGAUGCUGCCGCCCGCCAUGAUGCUCCGCGUGAUUUGAGCCAUUCUGCGGGGACAAAGCGAGAGCUCCUUGGUUUGGACAGUUCCUGCUGUGGCUCCUCCACCAGCCUUUCCCCCAGCUGCCCACACCAGAAACACAGCCAGGCCGUAACCCACGGCAGUUCCUAGCAGCUAACAGGGCCACCAAAGCUCUUAGUAACUGCUGUAACAUAAAGCAAAUAUUCUUUGAGCUCCUUUAAUCCAUCCACAAGACCGAUCCAGUGCCGAUCGGCCUCAGUAUUAGCAAGGGGCAAAACCGGUAACUAUUGUCGUGUAGAAGGUGUUGCUUGUGGCCAGUCUCCAAGGCAGUCUCGUCAAAUGUUAUUCUCCUCCAGUAGUAGCCCUGGGUGUUCAGCUUUUCUGCGUAUGAAACGUAUGAUAAAGAGUGACCUGACUUCUACUGUUUGAAAAAAUAAUGUAGAAAAUACCACCUUAAUUGGUCAUUUUCAUCAUGGAAGAGGCAUUUUUUGGAACAACUGCCUGUUAGAGCCUUCCUACAGACUGCGAUGUUGCUUCAUAAGUACACCUGGCCUGGCUGGGUUUAGGAUCACUCGUAGUCUGUGUCUACCAUGCUUAUUAUUUGACCAUAAGCAGAUAGUUUUAUUCUAAAAAGCAGCCUUGAAGGCAAAUUCUCUUGAGUCCAGUAAUUUGAGUAGAACUGAGAUCAGCUAGUUACAUGCUUUAAAGGUCCAGUAGAUGUAUCGCUGUGGUUUAGGAGGAAACUUUUACUCAGUGAUGUUUGGGGUGGGUAUUUUCUUCAUAAAUCUUUUGCACAUCUCUUUCAGGGAAAAUGUGUUCAUACCCAUUUAUUUCACGUCUGCUGAGUCCAAAGGUGACCCACAAGACUUGGGCAGCAUUGUGAAUUGAUGUAAAGACUUAGAAGACUUGAAAAUCAGGUGGCCAUGCUUGGCUUUAAAAAUAUUUCACUGACACAGUCUGAAUGAAAUAACUCUCUGGGGUUCAAAACAGCAGGCAUUGACAGAUACAAGGGAUUAAAAGGCUUUUUAAUGUGGCUUAGUAGUGUACAGAAGAUUGGCUUACUUGUAUGAGCUCUUCUUUCGUCACAUUGAUCUUUAAUUUGCAUUGUGCUUAGUACAACAGAAACUGGAGGCUGAAGUCUUCUCUCCUGAAUCAUCUGACAGGACUUGGCCCUUUUAUUGCUUAGUGAAAUCUUUUUUUUUUUGUGAAGGAGGAAUUGAUUUUUGCCAGUGUUGAGUAAUAGCUGAAGAAUACCAAGUUGUAAUAAUUUUGUGAACACUGUAUGUGGCCAGGUUGGUGAGAGGAAGUUACUAUACAAUGGGUUAUACUACUUUAUAUUACUUUCCUGUAUAGAUGUAUCGAUCUAGCUUAAUAGGGAGCUAGCUGAUGAAGGAAUAAAAGGCAAUUCAGUGGUUCCCCUGUGUCAGCUAUAUGUGACUAAACCCAUGAGGUGGUAAUUACAAGAAUGAUAGCUCCAAUUCCAAGGGAUGCCGCUGGUUUGUCAGGCUGAGAACUAAAAAUGAGAGGAGGAUGAAGUUGGUAGAGACGGAUGGAAGAAAUAAUUUAACACAGAGGCAGACUUUGCGGAAGAGGCUGGAAGAAGCUGGGCCUUCCUCUGCAGCAAUGGAAUGAGGGUGCUGCCCUUUCCUUGAUGAAGUCAAGUUCUUUGUUCUCUCUGAGGCUUCAUUCCAAGGAAUGUGAAGAUACAAGCUUUAAGACCCUACUGUACUGUAUUUGCAAAGAAAAGUAAAAUGUGAUGAAUGAAAAUCCACUCUAAAAUACAAAACUGCACACAAAACCCCAUCACCAGCGAAGACUUGAGAGAACUUUUGGCAGCUAAAAACAUAUACAUAAUCGUCUCCUAAGAAAUGAUGGUAUGGGAAAUACAUUUUGCACAAAUAUACUUCAUAAAAUGCAGGUUAUAUAUAUAUAUAUUAAAAAAAAAAUAGAAUCCCAAACUUCAUUAACAGAAAUUUAGAACAUCCUGAAUCCUCUCAUAUUGCAGCUUGACCCAACCCUACUCAAUAAUGAAAACAGUUAACAUCAACCGGGGGGAGGUAGAUUUGCCUUUCUGAUAAGGUGUAACUUUAUAAUUGAAAGCACUACUAAUAAAAUUUGCAUGUUGCAGAAGUAAAAAUGUCAGCCACAGCUUGAGACAUUCCCUGACAUCGCUAGAUGGGACUUGAAGCUGCAAGAUAAAGCCUUAAACACCUUGCUUUUGCAAUCUACAAUGAAAGUAGCCCUUUAUUAUCGGGUAUGUUUUGUAUUGUAAUCAUAAUAGUGUUAGCUGUUAGGACUAUAAAAACUGUUAGGAAUAUGAAAAUGGUUAAGCCAUAAAAAGCAUAUUUGUGUGAUUCUAUAGCUAUUCCGAACAAAACACAGUGUGCUUCAAUAAAAAGAAAAUGCAAUUUAAUUUGCCCCUGUCAA